rnacentral:rRNA from 1 species
UUGACCUCGGAUCAGGUAGGGAUACCCGCUGAACUUAAGCAUAUCAAUAAGCGGAGGAAAAGAAACCAACAGGGAUUGCCCUAGUAACGGCGAGUGAAGCGGCAACAGCUCAAAUUUGAAAUCUGGCGUCUUUGGCGUCCGAGUUGUAAUUUGCAGAGGGCGCUUUGGCAUUGGCAGCGGUCCAAGUUCCUUGGAACAGGACGUCACAGAGGGUGAGAAUCCCGUACGUGGUCGCUAGCCUUUACCGUGUAAAGCCCCUUCGACGAGUCGAGUUGUUUGGGAAUGCAGCUCUAAAUGGGAGGUAAAUUUCUUCUAAAGCUAAAUACUGGCCAGAGACCGAUAGCGCACAAGUAGAGUGAUCGAAAGAUGAAAAGCACUUUGGAAAGAGAGUUAAAAAGCACGUGAAAUUGUUGAAAGGGAAGCGCUUGCAGAGAACUUAUAGGGGAGACGACAUGCAACCAGCCUGGACUGAGGUCCGCG